rnacentral:lncRNA from 1 species
CUUUCCAUUGAAAUAGGCCAUGAAGUUAAAACCCAGAAUAAAUUAUUAGCUGAAAUGUGGAUCCUUCAGGUUCCAGGGAUUUCACCAGUAGCAGUGAAAGCCUACUUCUGCUAAUUUUGACUGUUCCUCAGCAUUUGUCCAGAAGCUUAAAAAGAAGGAGGCUUACUUUCAGUGCCAUCUAUCACAGCUGCAGAAUUAUAUCAUGACAUGUCAAAAUAAUGACUCUGAAGCCUUCCAAAUCUUCCAAGAAAGAAGAAUCCUUAUUUUAGAUUAGUAGGAAAUGGCUUUCUACCACUCUGAAAAGUCUCUUCUUGGCCAAACAUCAAAGUCUGGAGCCAGAGAUGUAAGCAGAAAUGGGGCGGAAAGAGCUCACAUGUUGAAUCAAUCAGCCUUGAUUUGAAUCAACCUUCCAUCAAUUACCAGCUAAGUAACUUUAAAAAAGUCACUUAAUCUCUCUGGCUUUCUAUUUCCCCAUCUGGAAAGUAACACAUACCUCACAGGUUGUUAUUAGGAACAAAUAAAAAAUUUGUGUCAA